UGGGCAAUCUGCCCUGCACUCUGGGACAAGCCCUGGAAACGGGGUCUAAUACCGGAUGAUACCUGUCCCUGCAUGGGGGUGGGUUGAAAGCUCCGGCGGUGCAGGAUGAGCCCGCGGCCUAUCAGCUUGUUGGUGGGGUGAUGGCCUACCAAAGCGACGACGGGUAGCCGGCCUGAGAGGGCGACCGGCCACACUGGGACUGAGACACGGCCCAGACUCCGUACGGGAGGCAG
rnacentral:rRNA from 1 species